rnacentral:rRNA from 1 species
GACGAACGCUGGCGGCGUGCUUAACACAUGCAAGUCGAACGGAAAGGCCCUGCUUUUGUGGGGUGCUCGAGUGGCGAACGGGUGAGUAACACGUGAGUAACCUGCCCUUGACUUUGGGAUAACUUCAGGAAACUGGGGCUAAUACCGGAUAGGAGCUCCUGCUGCAUGGUGGGGGUUGGAAAGUUUCGGCGGUUGGGGAUGGACUCGCGGCUUAUCAGCUUGUUGGUGGGGUAGUGGCUUACCAAGGCUUUGACGGGUAGCCGGCCUGAGAGGGUGACCGGCGACAUUGGGACUGAGAUACGGACCAGACUCCUACGGGAGGCAGCAGUGGGGAAUAUUGCACAAUGGGCGGAAGCCUGAUGCAGCAACGCCGCGUGCGGGAUGACGGCCUUCGGGUUGUAAACAGCUUUCGCCUGUGACGAAGCGUGAGUGACGGUAAUGAGUAAAGAAGCACCGGCUAACUACGUG